UGCCUCUUAUUCUCGAUCUCUUUCGGGAAAACUUGAACAAGAAAACUUGUUCACCGGAAAACUUCAUCACCAUCUCUUACUCUCAAUCUCUCUCCCUCUUUAUCAAAGAAGAUUCAUUAAAAUCAACAACUAGAAGAAGAACUUUUCUCUUUGUUCCUGGUCUCUCUACCUCGAUUUAAAGCGACGGAGAAAACCUAAAAUCCAGAACACAGAUUCCUUUUCAGACAACAUCAAUGGCCGACAAAAUUUGGGGUACUCUAUGAAGGGCCAUAUACGAAGGCUUCUCAUUGGGAAGAAUUUGGUAUUUACUUUAACAUUGAGAAGCAAACUUAGUUGGAGGCA